CCAGACUCCUACGGGAGGCAGCAGUGGGGAAUAUUGCACAAUGGGGGAAACCCUGAUGCAGCGACGCCGCGUGAGCGAUGAAGUAUUUCGGUAUGUAAAGCUCUAUCGGCAGGGAAGAAAAAAAUGACAGUACCUGACUAAGAAGCCCCGGCUAACUACGUGCCAGCAGCCGCGGUAAUACGUAGGGGGCAAGCGUUAUCCGGAUUUACUGGGUGUAAAGGGAGCGUAGACGGCGGUGCAAGCCAGAUGUGAAAGCCCGGGGCUCAACUCCGGGACUGCAUUUGGAACUGUGCUGCUAGAGUGUCGGAGAGGCAGGCGGAAUUCCUAGUGUAGCGGUGAAAUGCGUAGAUAUUAGGAGGAACACCAGUGGCGAAGGCGGCCUGCUGGACGAUGACUGACGUUGAGGCUCGAAAGCGUGGGGAGCAAACAGGAUUAGAUACCCUUGUA
rnacentral:rRNA from 1 species